UGAAUAAGGGAGUGAAAUAGUACCUGAAACCGUACACCUACAAGCGGUCGAAGCCAUUUAUGGUGACGGCGUGCCUUUUGCAUAAUGAGCCUACGAGUUACUCCUCACUGGCAAGGUUAAGUUAUUCUAUAACGUAGCCGUAGCGAAAGCGAGUCCAAAUAGGGCGAAUAGUCAGUGGGGGUAGACGCGAAACUUUGUGAUCUAUCCAUGAGCAGGUUGAAGUGUCGGUAACACGACAUGGAGGACCGAACCCAUUAACGUUGAAAAGUUAUGGGAUGACUUGUGGAUAGGGGUGAAAAGGCCAAUCAAACUGAGAGAUAGCUCGUUCUCCCCCGAAAAUGUUUUUAGGAACAGCGUCAGGUUAUUUAUAUGAUAGAGGUAGAGCUACUGAUUGGGCUAGGGGGUGUCAAAGCCUACCAAACCCUGACAAACUCCGAAUGCUAUCAUAUAUUACUGGCAGUGAGGCUGCGGGCGCUAAGGUCCGUGGCCGAGAGGGAAAUAACCCAGAUUAUCAGCUAAG
rnacentral:rRNA from 1 species